rnacentral:rRNA from 1 species
AUUGAACGCUGGCGGCAUGCCUUACACAUGCAAGUCGAACGGCAGCACGGGUGCUUGCACCUGGUGGCGAGUGGCGAACGGGUGAGUAAUACAUCGGAACAUGUCCUGUAGUGGGGGAUAGCCCGGCGAAAGCCGGAUUAAUACCGCAUACGAUCUACGGAUGAAAGCGGGGGACCUUCGGGCCUCGCGCUAUAGGGUUGGCCGAUGGCUGAUUAGCUAGUUGGUGGGGUAAAGGCCUACCAAGGCGACGAUCAGUAGCUGGUCUGAGAGGACGACCAGCCACACUGGGACUGAGACACGGCCCAGACUCCUACGGGAGGCAGCAGUGGGGAAUUUUGGACAAUGGGCGAAAGCCUGAUCCAGCAAUGCCGCGUGUGUGAAGAAGGCCUUCGGGUUGUAAAGCACUUUUGUCCGGAAAGAAAUCCUUGGCCCUAAUACGGUCGGGGGAUGACAGUACCGGAAGAAUAAGCACCGGCUAACUACGUG